CCCUUAGAUGUUCUGGGCCGCACGCGCGCUACACUGAUGCAUUCAACGAGUCUAAAACCUGGUCUGAUAGGGCUGGGUAAUCUUUUGAAUGUGCAUCGUGAUUGGGAUAGAUGAUUGCAAUUCUUCAUCUUCAACGAGGAAUGCCUAGUAAACGCAAGUCAUCAGCUUGCAUUGAUUACGUCCCUGCCCUUUGUACACACCGCCCGUCGCUCCUACCGAUUGAAUGUUCCGAUGAAUACCAUGGACUGAGAGUAUGAAUGGGUUUGCCUAUUUCUGCUUCUCGGGAAGUGGAGUAAAUCUUAACAUUUAGAGGAAGGAGAAGUCGUAACA
rnacentral:rRNA from 1 species